rnacentral:rRNA from 1 species
CCUACGGGAGGCAGCAGUGGGGAAUAUUGCGCAAUGGGGGAAACCCUGACGCAGCAACGCCGCGUGAGCGAUGAAGGUCUUCGGAUUGUAAAGCUCUGUCUUUAGGGACGAUAAUGACGGUACCUAAGGAGGAAGCCACGGCUAACUACGUGCCAGCAGCCGCGGUAAU